GACGAACGCUGGCGGCGUGCCUAAUACAUGCAAGUAGAACGCUGAAGGAGGAGCUUGCUUCUCGGGAUGAGUUGCGAACGGGUGAGUAACGCGUAGGUAACCUGCCUGGUAGCGGGGGAUAACUAUUGGAAACGAUAGCUAAUACCGCAUAAGAGUAGAUGUUGCAUGACAUUUGCUUAAAAGGUGCAAUUGCAUCACUACCAGAUGGACCUGCGUUGUAUUAGCUAGUUGGUGAGGUAACGGCUCACCAAGGCGACGAUACAUAGCCGACCUGAGAGGGUGAUCGGCCACACUGGGACUGAGACACGGCCCAGACUCCUACGGGAGGCAGCAGUAGGGAAUCUUCGGCAAUGGACGGAAGUCUGACCGAGCAACGCCGCGUGAGUGAAGAAGGUUUUCGGAUCGUAAAGCUCUGUUGUAAGAGAAGAACGAGUGUGAGAGUGGAAAGUUCACACUGUGACGGUAUCUUACCAGAAAGGGACGGCUAACUACGUG
rnacentral:rRNA from 1 species